AUUGAACGCUGGCGGCAGGCCUAACACAUGCAAGUCGAGCGGAUGAAGGGAGCUUGCUCCUGGAUUCAGCGGCGGACGGGUGAGUAAUGCCUAGGAAUCUGCCUGGUAGUGGGGGAUAACGUCCGGAAACGGGCGCUAAUACCGCAUACAUCCUGAGGGAGAAAGUGGGGGAUCUUCGGACCUCACGCUAUCAGAUGAGCCUAGGUCGGAUUAGCUAGUUGGUGGGGUAAAGGCCUACCAAGGCGACGAUCCGUAACUGGUCUGAGAGGAUGAUCAGUCACACUGGAACUGAGACACGGUCCAGACUCCUACGGGAGGCAGCAGUGGGGAAUAUUGGACAAUGGGCGAAAGCAUGAUCCAGCAAUGCCGCGUGUGUGAAGAAGGUCUUCGGAUUGUAAAGCACUUUAAGUUGGGAGGAAGGGCAGUAAGUUAAUACCUUGCUGUUUUGACGUUACCAACAGAAUAAGCACCGGCUAACUUCGUG
rnacentral:rRNA from 1 species